rnacentral:rRNA from 1 species
AUGCAAGUCGAACGGGCUCUUCGGAGCAAGUGGCGGACGGGUGAGUAACGCGUGAGAAUGUGCCUUCAGGAUGGGGAUAACAAUAGGAAACUAAUGCUAAGACCCAAUGUGCCUUAAGUGGUGAAAAAUGAAAAUUGCCUGAAGAGGAGCUCGCGUCUGAUUAGCUAGUUGGGGUGGUAAAAGCGCACCAAGGCAACGAUCAGUAGCUGGUCUGAGAGGAUGAGCAGCCACACUGGGACUGAGACACGGCCCAGACUCCUACGGGAGGCAGCAGUGGGGAAUUUUCCGCAAUGGGCGAAAGCCUGACGGAGCAAUACCGCGUGAGGGAGGAAGGCUCUUGGGUUGUAAACCUCAAAACUUAGGGAAGAAAAAAAUGACGGUACCUAAUUUAAGCAUCGGCUAACUCCGUGCCAGCAGCCGCGGUAAUACG